AUAUAUAAAGUAAUUAUUUACAUUUAAUUUCGACUUAAAAAUUUUGAUUAAUAUCAUGUAUAUA
rnacentral:tRNA from 1 species